rnacentral:rRNA from 1 species
GAUGAACGCUGGCGGCGUGCUUAACACAUGCAAGUCGAACGAUGAAAGCGGGAGCUUGCUCCUGCUGGAUUAGUGGCGAACGGGUGAGUAACACGUGAGUAACCUGCCCUUGACUCUGGGAUAAGCGUUGGAAACGACGUCUAAUACCGGAUACGACCUUCGGAGGCAUCUCCUGGGGGUGGAAAGAAUUUCGGUCAAGGAUGGACUCGCGGCCUAUCAGCUAGUUGGUGAGGUAAUGGCUCACCAAGGCGACGACGGGUAGCCGGCCUGAGAGGGUGACCGGCCACACUGGGACUGAGACACGGCCCAGACUCCUACGGGAGGCAGCAGUGGGGAAUAUUGCACAAUGGGCGAAAGCCUGAUGCAGCAACGCCGCGUGAGGGACGACGGCCUUCGGGUUGUAAACCUCUUUUAGUAGGGAAGAAGCGAAAGUGACGGUACCUGCAGAAAAAGCACCGGCUAACUACGUGCCAGCCGCCGCUGUAACAC